rnacentral:rRNA from 1 species
AGGACGAACGCUGGCGGCGUGCUUAACACAUGCAAGUCGAGCGGUAAGGCCUUUCGGGGUACACGAGCGGCGAACGGGUGAGUAACACGUGGGUGAUCUGCCCUGCACUCUGGGAUAAGCCUGGGAAACUGGGUCUAAUACCGGAUAUGACCUGCUCUCGCAGUGGGGGGUGGGUGGAAAGAUUUAUCGGUGCAGGAUGGGCCCGCGGCCUAUCAGCUUGUUGGUGGGGUAAUGGCCUACCAAGGCGACGACGGGUAGCCGACCUGAGAGGGUGACCGGCCACACUGGGACUGAGACACGGCCCAGACUCCUACGGGAGGCAGCAGGUGGGAAUAUUGCACAAUGGGACGAAAGCCUGAUGCAGCGACGCCGCGUGAGGAUGGAAGGUCCGUUCGGGUUAGUAAACCU